rnacentral:rRNA from 1 species
AACGAACGCUGGCGGCAGGCCUCAAACAUGCAAGUCUAGGGGGUGUAGCAAUACAUCACCGGCGGACGGGUGCGUAACGCGUGGGAAUAUACCUAUCGAUUCGGAACAACUGAGGGAAACUUCAGCUAAUACCGAAUACGUCCUAACGGAGAAAGAUUUAUCGUCGAUAGAUUAGCCCGCGUUCGAUUAGCUAGUUGGUGGGGUAACGGCCCACCAAGGCGACGAUCGAUAGCUGUUCUGAGAGGAAGAUCAGCCACACUGGGACUGAGACACGGCCCAGACUCCUACGGGAGGCAGCAGUUGGGAAUCUUGGACAAUGGGGGAAACCCUGAUCCAGCCAUGCCGCGUGAGUGAUGAAGGCCUUCGGGUUGUAAAACUCUUUCGUCGCACGACGAUAAUGACGGUAGUGCGAGAAGAAGCUCCGGCUAACUUCGUGCCAGCAGCCGCGGUAAU